AUGAACGCUGGCGGCGUGCUUAACACAUGCAAGUCGAACGGUGAACACGGAGCUUGCUCUGUGGGAUCAGUGGCGAACGGGUGAGUAACACGUGAGCAACCUGCCCCUGACUCUGGGAUAAGCGCUGGAAACGGCGUCUAAUACUGGAUAUGUGACGUGACCGCAUGGUCUGCGUUUGGAAAGAUUUUUCGGUUGGGGAUGGGCUCGCGGCCUAUCAGCUUGUUGGUGAGGUAAUGGCUCACCAAGGCGUCGACGGGUAGCCGGCCUGAGAGGGUGACCGGCCACACUGGGACUGAGACACGGCCCAGACUCCUACGGGAGGCAGAAGUGGGGAAUAUUGCACAAUGGGCGCAAGCCUGAUGCAGCAACGCCGCGUGAGGGAUGACGGCCUUCGGGUUGUAAACCUCUUUUAGCAGGGAAGAAGCGAAAGUGACGGUACCUGCAGAAAAAGCGCCGGCUAACUACGUG
rnacentral:rRNA from 1 species